rnacentral:pre_miRNA from 1 species
AUUUAAAUAUAAGUAUAUCCCAUGCAAUAUUUGGGACAUACUUAUGCUAGAA